rnacentral:lncRNA from 1 species
GAGAAGAAUUUUAUUGUAUGAGAUGAGAGGGUUAAAUUACAACCAUUGAACCAAUCUUAACGGUUCAAAUUUUAAAGUAGUCUCUCCUUUCUAUAUCCGCGAGAUUAUUCUUUGUCCUUCUCCCCAUUCAAGUUCUGACUUUUCCCUUAUAUCACAUCACACAACAAUUUGAUCACUAGAAAAACUUGUAGUUAGAGAUUCAAUUCAACAUCAUAAAGUUUUAUUCAAUUUGAUUACUAUCAGAAGCCAAAAAUCACCAGAAACUGCAGUUCAUUAGAGG